GUGUCAGCCGCCGCGGUAAUACGUAGGGCGCAAGCGUUGUCCGGAUUUAUUGGGCGUAAAGAGCUCGUAGGCGGUCUGUCACGUCGGAUGUGAAAACCCGGAACUCAACUCCGGGCCUGCAUUCGAUACGGGCAGACUUGAGUACUGCAGGGGAGACUGGAAUUCCUGGUGUAGCGGUGGAAUGCGCAGAUAUCAGGAGGAACACCGGUGGCGAAGGCGGGUCUCUGGGCAGAAACUGACGCUGAGGAGCGAAAGCGUGGGGAGCGAACAGGAUUAGAAACCCGAGUAGUCC
rnacentral:rRNA from 1 species